rnacentral:rRNA from 1 species
AUUGAACGCUUGCGGUAGGCCUAACACAUGCAAGUCGAGCGGAUGACGGGAGCUUGCUCCUUGAUUCAGCGGCGGACGGGUGAGUAAUGCCUAGGAAUCUGCCUGGUAGUGGGGGACAACGUUUCGAAAGGAACGCUAAUACCGCAUACGUCCUACGGGAGAAAGCAGGGGACCUUCGGGCCUUGCGCUAUCAGAUGAGCCUAGGUCGGAUUAGCUAGUAGGUGAGGUAAUGGCUCACCUAGGCGACGAUCCGUAACUGGUCUGAGCGGAUGAUCAGUCACACUGGAACUGUGACACGGUCCAGACUACGACGGGAGGCAGCAGUGAGGAAUAUUGGACAAUGGGCGAAAGCCUGAUCCAGCCAUGCCGCGUGUGUGAAGAAGGUCUUCGGAUUGUAAAGCACUUUAAGUUGGGAGGAAGGGUUGUACGUUAAUACCGUGCAAUUUUGACGUUACCGACAGAAUAAGCACCGGCUAACUCUGUGCCAGCAGCAGCCGCAGUAA